rnacentral:misc_RNA from 1 species
AGACUUGUUUAAAGUCCAAGUACUAAGCCAUUCCUGUCCAGUUCUGAGCUCUGUACCUGUUCCAUUCUAUGUGAAGCCGAAUUCAACCAAUUACUUGAAAGACUAACAAGUACCAGACCCUUGCUUAUUAUAGCUUCUGCCUAAUUUACAUUAUGUUAUAAACGAGCUAGAACAGUAAUAUUACGAAAAAACUGGCUAUUAAUGGCUACAAAUCAUCAACCACUUCAAUGGUUUUAUGCUGCGCGCCGUAAUAUGUACCUUCGUCAAUCUCAUA